UCAUUCCAUUUUUUCCUCUAUUUCUCUUCAAAAGCAUGAUUUUUGAAGAUAAUCUCGAAAAACACAUUCUGAUCUGCCCCCGAGUCAAAGCAUGGAAAAGUCAGGAAAAGGAACCGUACUUUUU
rnacentral:ribozyme from 17 species